rnacentral:rRNA from 1 species
AGUGAACGCUGGCGGUAGGCCUAACACAUGCAAGUCGAACGGCAGCACAGUAAGAGCUUGCUCUUACGGGUGGCGAGUGGCGGACGGGUGAGGAAUACAUCGGAAUCUACUUUUUCGUGGGGGAUAACGUAGGGAAACUUACGCUAAUACCGCAUACGACCUACGGGUGAAAGCAGGGGAUCUUCGGACCUUGCGCGAUUGAAUGAGCCGAUGUCGGAUUAGCUAGUUGGCGGGGUAAAGGCCCACCAAGUGGACGAUCCGUAGCUGGUCUGAGAGGAUGGUAGGCGGCAUGGGAGGGUGAACAGGGACAGGAGGCCUACGGUAGGCACCAGAGGGGAAUGUUGGACAGUGGGGGGAAGCCUGAUCCAGCGGUACGGAGUGGGAGAAAAAGGCGUUGGGGUUGUAAAGCCGUUUUGUUGGGAAAAAAAAGCAGCAGGUUAAGACGCCGCGGUUCUGACGGUACCCAAUAAAUAAGCACCGGCUAACUUCGUG